rnacentral:rRNA from 1 species
GUGCCAGACUCCUACGGGAGGCAGCAGUGGGGGAUAUUGCACAAUGGGGGGAACCCUGAUGCAGCGACGCCGCGUGGGUGAAGGAGCGUUUCGGCGCGUAAAGCCCUAUCGGCAGGGAAGAAGGAGGACGGUACCUGACUAAGAAGCCCCGGCUAACUACGUGCCAGCAGCCGCGGUAAUACGUAGGGGGCAAGCGUUAUCCGGAUUUACUGGGUGUAAAGGGGGCGGAGGCGGCAGCGCAAGCCAGGAGUGAAAGCCCGGGGCCCAACCCCGGGACUGCUCUUGGAACUGUGCGGCUAGAGUACUGGAGGGGCAGGCGGAAUUCCUAGUGUAGCGGUGAAAUGCGUAGAUAUUAGGAGGAACACCAGUGGCGAAGGCGGCCUGCUGGACAGUAACUGACGUUGAGGCUCGAAAGCGUGGGGAGCAAACAGGAUUAGAUACCCCAGUA